rnacentral:rRNA from 1 species
UACGUAGGUGGCAAGCGUUGUCCGGAAUUAUUGGGCGUAAAGCGCGCGCAGGCGGGAUGGUAAGUCUAACUUAAAAGUGCGGGGCUCAACCCCGUGAGGGGUUAGAAACUACCAUUCUUGAGUACAGGAGAGGAAAGUGGAAUUCCCAGUGUAGCGGUGAAAUGCGUAGAUAUUGGGAGGAACACCAGUGGCGAAGGCGACUUUCUGGACUGUGUCUGACGCUGAGGCGCGAAAGCCAGGGGAGU